rnacentral:lncRNA from 10 species
AUAAAUUUCUGAAAUUUGUUUUCCGUGUUAUCUUGGCGAUCACUGAGUUUCCUUAAAACUGCCGUUUAGGGUCAGUCACUGGUUUCUUGUUUUGUCCAUUUGGGGAGACCUUGGUUUCCUGUUUGCUGUUGUUUCUUGUGGAUGUAUGUCUAUGUCUUUACAUUGAAGGAUUAAUUAUUUAUUCCAGUCUUCUCUGUCUGGCUUGUUUUGAUUUUUAUUGGCUACAAUUGCUUAAAGGUUCUUUAUUGCUAUGGACUGUCUUCUUUUCAGCUCUAGGUGGCGUCUUUACGCCAGGUUCACCUCAGCUCUAGUAAAUGAUCAGAGCAUGCCCUUUCUGAGUGGCAGAGGUCCCUAAGGGGAUAUCCUGGCAGUGUAGGAAGGUUGGCUAGAAGUUCGUCCCCAGGAGACCUGUGGAACAAACCUUCUGCAGUAUGGUGCUGCUGAACAGUCACUCUGAUUUGGUGUCUUGUUUGGCUGAUUUACAAAGCAGUUCCCAGGGCAGGGGAUGGUAGUCUUCCCUCCCCACCGGUUCUGACUGUUCUCAGGGAUAUUUCUCUUUUCAGGCACUCACAGUGCUUCCUGUGGCUCUAAGGUAGGGAUGGGUCUCUUGCCAUGGAACCCAGGAUGAUGAAGUUGGUUAUCCACCUCAACCUCAUUUUUUCCAGUGAGAAACUGAGUUGGGGGAAAUUAUUUCUUGUGCUUGAUACCAGUCAGAAUGAGGGGAGAGACGUCACAAAUGUGGAAGUGUGUCCAGAAUUGGUGGGUUCUUGGACUCGCUUACUUCAAGAAUGAAGCCGCGGAUCCUCGCAGUGAGUGUUGCAGUUCUUAAAGAUGGUGUGUCCGGAGUUUGUUCCUUCAGAUGUUCAGAUGGGUCCGGAGUUUCUUCCUUCUGGUGGGUUCGUGGCUGACAUCAGGAGUGAAGCUGCAUCCCUUUGUGGUCAGGAGGAUGUGUUCUGUGCCUGAAGAAAUACUCCCUUAUAUAAAUCAAGUUGGAAGGAUGGAGAUGGAAGGAACAAAUGUGGGAAUAAAAAAUUGGGAAGGAAUUCACCUCAUGGUUUGACUCUGAAACAAAAUUGAUAAGAGCCUUUCCCCAAAAGACCCCCUUCUUGCCUGGGAACCAGUCUGCCUUUGCAGGACUAACAAAUUAGCUACAAAAUUAGAAAUUAUGGUUUAGGGUUCAUGAAGCCUCUGACUCCAGAAGUCUGAACCUUCUCAAAUUGCUGCUAAAGAUAAUAUCACUAUUGUAAAACCUAAGCUUAGUGCUUAAGAUAUUUUGCAGACUUUGCACUUGAUGGAUCAGCUGACACCACCCAGACUAGUAAUCUGGCUCAGCUAGUUCUACCAUCCCACCCAGGAACAGAAGACGGAAAGAAAAACUCACUUCGACCCCCAUGAUUCCAUCUUCAACCUGACCAAUCAGCACUCCCCACUUCCCAAGCCCCCACCCACCAAAUUAUGUUUAAAAACUCUGAUCUUCGAAA